rnacentral:piRNA from 1 species
UUUCAAAGUGAUGCUGGAACGUGAAAC